rnacentral:tRNA from 1 species
GCUUCUAUAGCUUAAUCUGGUAAAGCAGUAGAGUGAAGUUCUAUCUAUAUAGGUUCAAUUCCUUUUAGGGGCA